rnacentral:rRNA from 1 species
ACGAACGCUGGCGGCGUGCUUAACACAUGCAAGUUGAACGGAAAGGCCCUGCUUGCAGGGUACUCGAGUGGCGAACGGGUGAGUAACACGUGGGUGAUCUGCCCUGCACUUCGGGAUAAGCCUGGGAAACUGGGUCUAAUACCGGAUAGGAGCCAUUUUUAGUGUGAUGGUUGGAAAGUUUUUUCGGUGUAGGAUGAGCUCGCGGCCUAUCAGCUUGUUGGUGGGGUAAUGGCCUACCAAGGCGGCGACGGGUAGCCGGCCUGAGAGGGUGGACGGCCACAUUGGGACUGAGAUACGGCCCAGACUCCUACGGGAGGCAGCAGUGGGGAAUAUUGCACAAUGGGCGCAAGCCUGAUGCAGCGACGCCGCGUGGGGGAUGACGGCCUUCGGGUUGUAAACUCCUUUCGCUAGGGACGAAGCUUUUGUGACGGUACCUAGAUAAGAAGCACCGGCUAACUACGUG